GGACGGUCAAGUGUGCUACAUACUAAAAUUGGAACAAUACAGAGAAGAUUAGCACGGCUCCUGAGCAAGGAUGACCCGCAAAACAUGAAGAUUUCCACGUUUUU